rnacentral:rRNA from 1 species
AUUGAACGCUGGCGGCAUGCUUUACACAUGCAAGUCGAACGGUAACAGGCCGCAAGGUGCUGACGAGUGGCGAACGGGUGAGUAAUGCAUCGGAACGUGCCCAGUCGUGGGGGAUAACGCAGCGAAAGCUGCGCUAAUACCGCAUACGAUCUCUGGAUGAAAGCGGGGGACCGAAAGGCCUCGCGCGAUUGGAGCGGCCGAUGUCAGAUUAGGUAGUUGGUGGGGUAAAGGCCCACCAAGCCAACGAUCUGUAGCUGGUCUGAGAGGACGACCAGCCACACUGGGACUGAGACACGGACCAGACUCCUCCGGGAGGCAGCAGUGGGGAAUUUUGGACAAGGGGCGCAAGCCUGAUCCAGCAAUGCCGCGUGCAGGAAGAAGGCCUUCGGGUUGUAAACUGCUUUUGUACGGAACGAAACGGUCCGGGUUAAUACCCUGGGCUAAUGACGGUACCGUAAGAAUAAGCACCGGCUAACUACGUGCCAGCCGCCGCAGUAAGAC